CACCUUUUGACAUGCCUGGACCGCUGCAGAGACGCAGCUUUCCCUUCGGGGACUAGGACACAGGUGCUGCAUGGCUGUCGUCAGCUCGUGUCGUGAGAUGUUGGGUUAAGUCCCGCAACGAGCGCAACCCUCACCAUUAGUUGCCAUCAUUUAGUUGGGCACUCUAAUGGCACUGCCGAGGUUAACUCGGAGGAAGGCGGGGAUGACGUCAAGUCCUCAUGGCCCUUACAAGGUGGGCUACACACGUGCUACGAUGGCGACUACAGAGGGCUGCAACCCAGCGAUGGUGAGCCAAUCCCUAAAAGUCGUCUCAGUUCGGAUUGUUCUCUGCAACUCGAGAGCAUGAAGUUGGAAUCGCUAGUAAUCGCGGAUCAGCAUGCCGCGGUGAAUACGUUCCC
rnacentral:rRNA from 1 species